UUGCUUCAGCAGCACAUAUACUAAAAUUGAAAUGAUACAGAGAAGUUUAGCAUGAACCCUGCGCAAGGAUAACAUGCAAAUUCCUGACAGGUUCCAUAUUAAA